AGUAUCUGUGUGGGUUUUUGUAUGGACAAAGAUUUUGAGACAGAUGUAAAAAUCUAUAUCAUCCUUUGUAACCCAGAACUCAUUAUUCUAUAUGAGUUCUGAUACAGAUAAGAAGGAACAUG